GACGAACGCUGGCGGCGUGCUUAACACAUGCAAGUCGAACGGAAAGGCCCUGCUUUUGUGGGGUGCUCGAGUGGCGAACGGGUGAGUAACACGUGAGUAACCUGCCCUUGACUUUGGGAUAACUUCAGGAAACUGGGGCUAAUACCGGAUAGGAGCUCCUGCUGCAUGGUGGGGGUUGGAAAGUUUCGGCGGUUGGGGAUGGACUCGCGGCUUAUCAGCUUGUUGGUGGGGUAGUGGCUUACCAAGGCUUUGACGGGUAGCCGGCCUGAGAGGGUGACCGGCCACAUUGGGACUGAGAUACGGCCCAGACUCCUACGGGAGGCAGCAGUGGGGAAUAUUGCACAAUGGGCGGAAGCCUGAUGCAGCAACGCCGCGUGCGGGAUGACGGCCUUCGGGUUGUAAACCGCUUUCGCCUGUGACGAAGCGUGAGUGACGGUAAUGGGUAAAGAAGCACCGGCUAACUACGUGCCAGCAGCCGCGGUGAUACGUAGGGUGCGAGCGUUGUCCGGAUUUAUUGGGCGUAAAGGGCUCGUAGGUGGUUGAUCGCGUCGGAAGUGUAAUCUUGGGGCUUAACCCUGAGCGUGCUUUCGAUACGGGUUGACUUGAGGAAGGUAGGGGAGAAUGGAAUUCCUGGUGGAGCGGUGGAAUGCGCAGAUAUCAGGAGGAACACCAGUGGCGAAGGCGGUUCUCUGGGCCUUUCCUGACGCUGAGGAGCGAAAGCGUGGGGAGCGAACAGGCUUAGAUACCCUGGUAGUCCACGCUGUAAACGGUGGGUACUAGGUGUGGGGUCCAUUCCACGGGUUCCGUGCCGUAGCUAACGCUUUAAGUACCCCGCCUGGGGAGUACGGCCGCAAGGCUAAAACUCAAAGGAAUUGACGGGGCCCCGCACAAGCGGCGGAGCAUGCGGAUUAAUUCGAUGCAACGCGUAGAACCUUACCUGGGUUUGACAUGGAUCGGGAGUGCUCAGAGAUGGGUGUGCCUCUUUUGGGGUCGGUUCACAGGUGGUGCAUGGCUGUCGUCAGCUCGUGUCGUGAGGCGUUGGGUUAAGUCCCGCAACGAGCGCAACCCUUGUUCACUGUUGCCAGCACGUUAUGGUGGGGACUCAGUGGAGACCACCGGGGUCAACUCGGAGGAAGGUGGGGAUGACGUCAAGUCAUCAUGCCCCUUAUGUCCAGGGCUUCACGCAUGCUACAAUGGCUGGUACAGAGAGUGGCGAGCCUGUGAGGGUGAGCGAAUCUCGGAAAGCCGGUCUCAGUUCGGAUUGGGGUCUGCAACUCGACCUCAUGAAGUUGGAGUCGCUAGUAAUCGCAGAUCAGCAACGCUGCGGUGAAUACGUUCCCGGGGCU
rnacentral:rRNA from 1 species